GACCUUACUUGGGCUUGACAUGCAUCGUGUCGCCGGUGAAAGCUUUGCACAGGUGCUGCAUGGCUGUCGUCAGCUCGUGUCGUGAGAUGUUGGGUUAAGUCCCGCAACGAGCGCAACCCUUGCUCAAUUGGGGACAAAAUGGUGCUGGGGCACUCUGUUCAGACUGCCCUGUGAAACGGGGAGGAAGGUGGGGACGACGUCAAGUCAGGAUGGCCCUUACGCCCAGGGCUGCACACGUACUACAAUGCUCAGUACAGAACGAACCGAAAUCGCGAGGUGGAGGAAAUCACUAAAACUGAGCCCAGUUCGGAUUGUAGGCUGCAACUCGCCUACAUGAAGCCGGAAUCGCUAGUAAUGGCGUAUCAGCUACGACGCCGUGAAUACGUUCCCGGGCCUUGUCACACCGA
rnacentral:rRNA from 1 species